GGGUCGGGAGGCUGCCGGUGGGACGGCGGCCACGGAUGGACCCCAGGGGCGAUAGUCCCGGUUCUCCAUGGGCGCGCCGCCGAAGCCCGACGGCCGGCGCA
rnacentral:ncRNA from 1 species